rnacentral:rRNA from 1 species
UACGUAGGUGGCAAGCGUUGUCCGGAUUUACUGGGCGUAAAGGGCUUGUAGGCGGUUCGUUAAGUCUGGUGUGAAAUCUCCCGGCUCAACCGGGAGGGGUCAUCGGAUACUGGCGGACUAGAGGCGGGUAGAGGAAAGCAGAAUUCCCGGUGUAGCGGUGAAAUGCGUAGAUAUCGGGAGGAAUACCAGUGGCGAAGGCGGCUUUCUGGGCCUGUUCUGACGCUGAGGAGCGAAAGCGUGGGGAGCAAACCGG